GACGAACGCCGACAGAAUGCUUAACACAUGCAAGUCUACCAAGAAUCACUUCGGUGAGGAAUGGUGGCGGACGGGUGAGUAACGCGUAAAUAAUCUGCCCUUUAGACUGGGAUAUCCUUUGGAAACGAAGGUUAAUACCGGAUAUUAUGAGAUGGACGCAUGUUCAACUUAUGAAAGCUAAAUGCACUAGAGGAGGAGUUUGCGUCCCAUUAGCUAGUUGGUGAGGUAAAGGCUCACCAAGGCCACGAUGGGUAGCCGGCCUGAGAGGGUGAACGGCCACAAGGGAACUGAGACACGGUCCUUACUCCUACGGGAGGCAGCAGUGGGGAAUAUUGGACAAUGGACCAAAAGUCUGAUCCAGCAAUUCUGUGUGCACGAUGAAGGUCUUCGGAUUGUAAAGUGCUUUCAGUAGGGAAGAAAAAAAUGACGGUACCUACAGAAGAAGCGACGGCUAAAUAUGUGCCAGCCGCCGCGGUAGCAC
rnacentral:rRNA from 1 species